CUGCUGAUGAGGGAGGAUAACAGUUGACGUAAUUGAAUAAAUGAGCCUCAAGGAAUCAAUAAUUGAAGCCAUCUCUGUGUGUCGAUAUAUUCGGUUUUUGAAAUCCGCAGUUACUUUUGCAUCAACCUAAUAGAUUUGCAUCACUCUUUUUAAGGGCUGCAUAGCGUUCCACGGAUGCUUAGGCCGCAGUUUACGUAGCCAACCCUUACUGAGGAACAUUAAAGUUGUUUCCUAUUUUUCAAAAGCAUAAACAAAGUGGGUCUCCCUAUGUUGCCUGGCUGGCCUUGAAGUCCUAGGCCCAAGUGAUCCACCCAUCUCAGCCUCCCAAAAGCUGGGAUUAUAGGUAUGAACCACCAUGUUCAGCCAAUUUUUAUUAUCAUACAUAAUUCUGUGAGGAAUAACUGCAUAACUCUCUAACAUUUCUGAUUAUUUCUUAAGGGUAAAUAUUCAUAGACGAGGAUGAACAUUGUAUUUUGGUAUCACUUGUUUCUGCCUGCCCAGAAUUUCUCAUUUUCACAUGAUAGAACUGACCUCCUACCUCACUCUCUCAUUGCCUUUUAGUAUCUGCCUCUCCCACAACUGGUAAAAUGUUUCAUCACACGGCUGGGACUGAUCAGAGUGCCCUGUCUCCUACCACUCCAGGCACAGUGAUGGGUCCAGGAGUGCGCAUAUGAUCUGAGUAGGGCCAAUAAGAGGGAAUUUUUCUAGGUCUGAUAAUAACUCUUGGAUGAAAACAUCUCUUUCCUUCUGAAAUUACCAAAAACCAUUAAAGGUUGGGACUGAUGAGGUCCCUCUUGAUGCCAACAUGGAAGAAAGCAGAGCUGAACAAUGAAGUGAUAAAGGGGAAUUCCUACUGACAACUUUUUUUUUUGGAGACAAAGUCUCACUCUGUCACCCAGGCUGGAGUGCAGUGACGUGUUCAUGGUUCACUGCAGCCUCAAACUCGGGUUCAAGUCAUUCUCCUGCUUCAGCCUCCCAGUGGCUGUGACUAAGGUGUGCACGACUACCCUGGCUAAUUUAUUUUUAUUUUUGUAGAGAUAGGGUUUCACAAUUUGGCCCCAGCUCGUCUGGAACUCCUGGCCUCAAGCGAUCCUCCUGCCUUAGGUUUCCAAAGUGCUGGGAUUACAGGUGUCAGCCACUGCGCCCAGCCUGAUGCCAUCAUUUCAGUUCCUGGUCUCGGCCAUGACCGAAGCAAGGUGCUUCCCUAGACUUGUCCAAUUAUUUGACCUAAUAAAUUCCCCUGUUUAUUUAAACUAA